rnacentral:rRNA from 1 species
CUGCUUUUGAAACUGAUAUUCUUGAGUGAAGUAGAGGCAAGCGGAAUUCCUAGUGUAGCGGUGAAAUGCGUAGAUAUUAGGAGGAACACCAGCGGCGAAGGCGGCUUACUGGACCGUGACUGACGUUGAGGCUCGAAAGCGUGGGGAGCAAACAGG